rnacentral:tRNA from 1 species
GGAGGGGUUCCCGAGUGGCUAAAGGGAGCAGACUGUAAAUCUGCCGUCUUUGACUUCGCUGGUUCGAAUCCAGCCCCCUCCACCA